UGACCCCCAAUAUUUGACUUGCCGUCUUCAUAACACCAAAGCAAGAUCAAAUCACCUGUCCCUCGCACAUAUUGAGCCAGAAACCAUUUACCUUAGCUGUUAUUUUCUCUCAUUUUGCACCUUUUUCUUUCCUCACCUAAAUGUGCUCCUCAUUUAAAGCUUUCAACAAACACUUGAGGAGCACCUACCUCUCUCUCCAUUACUAUUACACCUCUACCUGUCGACCAUGCUGCUACCACUAUCCCUAUCUGUCCUUCGUUCGCCUUAAAGCACCGUCGAUCCUGUCUUCUUCGUCACUUUCGGCUCUCGCCUCUCGUUUCUCUACUUACCGUUUUUACUCUUCACUUCAUUCUGGUACAUUUAUGGAGGUCGUUAAAGCGGUGGGUAAACAGGGGAAUGCAGCUGCGAAUAGCAUUGCUAUCCGGGCUGACCAGAUGAGUUACACAUACGUACAACUCAUCUCAUCAGCCUGGAACAUUUCUAAUCUGUUGUGUAACGCUGGAUUAAAGACUGUUGAUGAUGUUAGAGGAAAUGGACAUCUUGGUGGAGCUCGAAUUGGAAUCGUGGCUAAACCUUCAGCUGAAUUUGUUGCUGGUGUACUCGCAACUUGGUUUAGUGGAGGUGUUGCAGUUCCUCUCGCACUUAGCUAUCCUGAAACUGAACUCUUGCAUGUGAUGCAUGAUUCUGACAUAUCUAUGGUACUGAGCACCGAAGAUUAUAAAGAGUUGAUGCAAAAUAUUGCUGCCAAAAGCGCUGCCAAAUUUUCCCUCAUUCCUUCUGUUCCCAGUAUUUCUUCACAGAGAAGUGAACAAUAUCCUUCACAAAUGGGAGCCAUGGAAGCACAUAGAGGUGAAGAUCCAGCACUAAUUGUCUAUACAAGUGGCACGACAGGCAAACCUAAAGGCGUUGUCCAUACUCACAAAAGUAUUACUGCUCAGGUUCAAAUUUUGGCAGAAGCUUGGGAGUAUACAUCUGCUGAUCAAUUUCUCCAUUGUCUACCACUGCAUCACGUUCAUGGACUUUUCAAUGCUCUAUUUGCCCCUAUCUAUGCAGGUUCCAUGGUUGAGUUUAUGCCAAAAUUUAGUGUGAGAGGAAUCUGGCAAAGAUUGCGGGAAUCAUAUCCAAUAAAUGGCAAAAAGGCUGAUGAUGCUAUAACAGUGUUUACAGGAGUUCCCACCAUGUACACUCGAUUGAUACAAGGUUAUGAAGCAAUGGAUUCAGAACUUCAGGCAGCUUCUGCCUUUGCUGCAAGACAGUUGCGGCUAAUGAUGUGUGGCUCCUCAGCACUCCCUCUACCUGUCAUGGAACAAUGGGAAAACAUCACAGGGCAUCGCCUUCUAGAAAGAUAUGGCAUGACUGAGUUUGUCAUGGCAAUAUCAAAUCCCUUGAGAGGUGUGCGGAAAGCGGGAACUGUAGGCAAACCAUUUCCUGGAGUGCAGGUCAAGAUUGUAGAAGAUGAGACUGAAAAUGACCCAACAGGGGUGGGUGAGCUUUGUGUUAAAAGCCCUUCAUUGUUCAAGGAGUAUUGGAAGCUUCCUAAGGUAACCAGUGAAUCAUUUACUGAUGAUGGCUUCUUCAAGACAGGUGAUGCUGGUAAAAUAGAUGAAGAUGGUUACUACGUCAUUUUGGGACGUAAGCAUAUCUACUAUCAUAUGCUGUGCUCUUAUUGGUACAAGUGCUGAUAUUAUGAAAGUUGGGGGAUACAAAUUAUCUGCAUUAGAAAUUGAAUCAGCCCUCUUAGAGUAUCCAGGUAUUGCUGAGUGCUGUGUUUUGGGCUUGCCGGACAAAGAUUAUGGAGAUGCUGUGUGCGCAAUUAUUGUUCAAGAUGAAGCAGAAAAAAGAAAAAUAGAGGAACAGCUAAAGCCUGCUCUAAGCUUGGAAGAACUCCGUGAGUGGGCUAAAGGCAAACUUGCACCAUACAAGCUGCCUACUCGAUUGUUCUUGUGGGAUUCAUUACCUCGUAAUGCUAUGGGAAAGGUGAACAAGAAAGCACUGAAAACAGUGCUCGCAGCUGAACAACAAAAUUUGGAGUUUGGGCAGUAAAACUGAUACACCAAGGAAGUCUCGACGUUUACCAUUAUACAUAGACUGAAGCUAGAAGAUAGAAAGCAUGUGACUGAGACAUGCAAUGUGGGAAAUGGGUUGUUAGCAGAAGAUGGUGGUGACAUGGGCGGUGACCUAUGGACGUGGGUUAUGGAGCCCAUGGGAAUAUGUAUUGUAGCUUGCCAAAGUUUAGAAAUCUUAAUUUGUUAUUUUGUUGAGUCUAUUGUUGGAAAAUAUACAUACGCGGUGACCUAUGGACGUGGGUUAUGGAGUCCAUGGGAACAUGAGCCGUAGCUUGCCAAAGUUUAGAAAAAUAUUUUUCUUAAUUUGUUAUUUUGUUGGGUCUAUUGUUAUUUUGUUUUAAGAGUCAUGUUUCUAUUUUUUAGAAGUCAUGGGCUAAAAAUUAGGAUCAGAUGUUAUUUUCUUAUUCUAUUUAAACUUUUACUAAUAGAAUGAAAUAGUAGUUUAUUUUUUAGUGAAAUUAUGAUUGUUUUCGCU